AACGAACGCUGGCGGCGUGGAUAAGACAUGCAAGUCGAACGGGAUUAUUUUUGUAGCAAUACAGAAAUAAUUCAGUGGCGAACGGGUGCGUAACACGUGGGCAAUCUGCCGAAAAGUGGGGGAUAGCUCGCCGAAAGGCGAAUUAAUACCGCAUGUGGUGAGGGACGACAUCUUCCUGAAUCCAAAGCCGGGGCAACCUGGCGCUUUUUGAGGAGCCCGCGGCCUAUCAGCUUGUUGGCGGGGUAACGGCCCACCAAGGCUAUGACGGGUAGCUGGUCUGAGAGGACGACCAGUCACACUGGAACUGAGACACGGUCCAGACACCUACGGGUGGCAGCAGUCGAGAAUUUUUUCUCAAUGGGGGCAACCCUGAA
rnacentral:rRNA from 1 species